rnacentral:misc_RNA from 1 species
GCGACAAUGUUUCAAGCGUGCGUCNUUUCAGUUAAGACCAUAUCUUGGCCGGUGACGGUUUUCUGUGUUGUAUACCUAUCGUGAUGGUANUCGGUUGGCCCAAAUAUGCGUUUUCGUCUUGUAUUGUGUGCCCAACGGCAUAAACGGUGCGGGAUGGACAGCGAAGCAUUCGUCGUGUUCCACAUUUCCUGCACAAWAUUGGUGCUUGGCUUGAUGGCCCAUGGCGUUUUGCUCGAACUCUCGGAUGCGGAACAUCAUGUGGGUAUGGGUCUUCCGACCUUUAUUUGCCCCAAAACAAGCGUUYUACGCUUUGUGCGAACGACGAUCGUGCCAUYUUGAUCGAGUCUUCACGGCUUUAUCAUGUGGUUUCGGCGUUGUGAGGAA